CCGUGUGCAAAACGCGCAACUUCCUCUGGACUCAAUGCUUAAAUGUCAGGAAAAUUGCAAAAAUGUCUGGUGAAAUCUUUGAUAUCAAUAACGAAGAUGUUUUAGAAAAGUUUUUGGAAAAAAAUGAACGGGGGAUAGUCUUUAUUGAUCUUGUUGAAACAGCAAAUUGUCACGUAGCCUCUCUCUCGGAUGAUGCACGGCAAAUCAUUCAAGUCACCAAUGCUGGAGGGAAUUCGGAGAUUUCGGAGGCGAUUUCUUAUGAGAUCUUUUAUAGAUAUAGAUGCGCUAAACUUGUAAUGUUCUUUGAAGAUAUCUGAGGCCGAUCGAAUUCUUCACUGACAGAGAAUGAGAUUGAAAACCAUCUGGACGGUGGACCACUCGUUGAUUACGUUUGUGAAAUUCAUAGCAAAGUAGUGGCAGUAUCAGUCACUCGUGCCAUGAAUAAAAAUGCAAAGGACUUACUUAAAAGGAAAUUGGACGGUAUUGCAGCUGCAACUGAAAAACAAAAACAAAAGCUUCACAAAUCUAAUGAAAAAUGGGAAAGGCUGAUUCUUCAUGUCUGGGUUCAAAAUGAAGAGAUAGCUAAAAUAGUAUCCGAAGAUGCUACCGAACUACUAAAAGAGCCUAGAUACGAAACAUUGGUGGUCAUCUCUAGGGGAUUACCCUUCAUCUUCAACAACGACAAAAAUAUGUUACAAUCUCCCAAACACAAAACGUCGGAGGGGGCAAGCUCUACAAGCGAAGCAAGAAAAACACGAAAACGCAAAGCGCAAGAACAGGAAACCCCCCAAAAACAAAGCCCAAAAAGACAAAAACAAAGCCCAAAAAGACCAAAAAAACAAAAAACAAAAAAAUAAAGAAGAAAAUCCUAACCCGAGAAAAGAUGCUCCGUGCCUUCCUCCCAUCAGAGGGCUUAGUCUGCAACAACAACUCUUUAUUCAGCUGUGAAAACCAACCUGUCAAGAACAAUAUAUAAUCUUUUAAAACUUAUUAUAGACAUAUAUCGGACAUAUCUCUUUUAUAUGCUCCAAAUUUUAUAUUUAGGCCUUUCA